CACAUUUCAAGGUUCCAUGGUUGCAAAAGCCGUAUAUCUUCGACAUUCGAACCAAACCUUACGAAUUCAACUCCGACUCUGGAACUAAAGAUCUUCAAAUGGUCAAUCUCACACUCCGUGUUAUGUGUCGCCCUGAGGUAAUUGCAUUAAUAUGGUUAGAAAGUUGAAGAUGGAUCUAACUUAAUAUAUAUAUAUAUAUAUAUAUAUAUAUAUAAAUAGAAAUUUGACAUGAACUAAAUUAUCACUUGUUCUCAUUUGAUUUUUUUUUUAAAAAAAAAAUUGGAAAGUACUAAUCAUGUCUAAAAAGAUAUCAGUUCAAGACAGUUUUCUUAUGUGGAUUUAUUGAGUUAGGUUUCGCGUCUUCCGUACAUAUUCAACCACUUGGGUCUCGAGUACCGUGAAAAGGUUUUACCAGCGAUCGGGAACGAGGUGUUGAAAGCAGUGGUGGCUCAGUUCAACGCGGACCAGCUUCUAACAGAUCGUCCACAGGUCUCGGCUCUUGUGCGUGAGACGCUAAUCAAGCGAGCUAAGGC
rnacentral:lncRNA from 1 species